rnacentral:tRNA from 1 species
UCCCUUGUGACUAAGCUGGUAAAGAAUUUGCCUGCAAUGCAGGAGACCUGAGUUCAAUCCCUAGUUUGGGAA